AGCUUGAAAAGCAGCCCACAGCAGGCUGAGCACUGGAGCAAUUAAAUAAAUGUCCACUUCCAGAAAGAAUUUAUUUAAAAAAAAAAAAAAAGGAAUGAAGAAAAAAGAAAACACUGAGCCCAUCUAAAAGUCAAGGGAAAGAAACCCCAGUCCUGCCCCGUUCCGCUCCCCGCCUUGCUCCGUCCUUAUCACCGCCGUGGAGGAUUUGACGCUCAUCUCCUCCUAACAGCAGAGUUCCUGAUCCAGCAGCAGCAAAACCGAAUCAAUCGGUUCCCAAAAGCCAGGGUGGUGAGAAGAAAGGCAGCCCUGCCCCUGGCAUGUGGAACCAAUCCAUACCUUAAGCAGAAAAAUAUUGAUAAGGUGGCUGCCGCAGACAUAUUUAUGUCCUUCCUUAUACGUGCCACGAGCAGAGAGUUUCUCCCCCCUGCCUGGCCCUGAGCAGAGCGUUAUUUUAAAUUGUGCAAAAUCGCCUCGCUUGCUCGGGGAGGCAAAGCACAGUCUAUUUUUACCAUCUCAUGAUUUUGCCAUCGCUCCAUCCCGAGGAGGGAUCGAGUUUCCUGGACAUCGUGGGCUCCGCUCGCGGGAGAUUCCUUCGCUCGGUCCUUAUAAGGCACCAGAGAUUCGUCCCCGCCAGCACCGCGAGUCCCCCCUGCCGCGCUCGGGUGAUGGAUCACGCUGGAAGGACAGCGAGAGGAAGAAAAAAAGGAAGGGAAGGAGGAUGGGAAGCCUUGGGGCUGGAGAUUAACAAGUGAAAAAGACAAGGCGGGGGGGGGGAAGGUUGGAGAGAGGCAUUAGGAGAAAUUACAGGCAUGGAAAUCGAGGAGUGUAAUCGAAACCAGACUGGGACACUUUGACAGUAAUGGAAAUCAGGUUUGGGGGAGUUUGGGGAACGUCAUGUCCCUCCUGCCCUGGAGACCUGCAGUUGGGGUGCUUGGAGCCUUCGCCCCAUGCUGGACACCAGCCUGCGAGGCUGCAGCCCCCCACACCACCCCUCCCAUGUUUCCAAGCCACCACCGAGGACACCCAGGAGCCAAAAUCAACCUGUGAUCUCUGCUCGGGACCCGCAGGCAGCACCAGGGGAGCUCCCUGGCCUCAACCCACAGCUCCUGGCCACGCACCCCCACGUCUUCCCAAGCCCUCCUGCCCUCCUCGCUGCUGCGCACCGUCCCCAGCACCAACGGUCCAUCUCUGCGUGAUCCGCCCGGAUUUGUACCACCAACACCGACAGGUUGCGGCGGUACCGAAUGUGUUUUUUGUUCCCGAUCUGCAUGAAUUCCUCCCCGCCCCGCAGGGAUGGUCCUUGGAGGAGGUGGCUCCCGGCAGAACGAAGCCCCACGCUGAAGCCUGCAGCGCGAGCCCCCAGCCCCAUUUCCAGCCCUAAUUCGCCCCCUGCUCCCGGCACAGCCACGGCCCUCGAAGCCCAUCCCGUAACGCAGCGGCACCCGCGCUCUGCCCGGGCUUUUCUUUGCCUUUUCCUUUAUUUAUGCUCUCCACGCUGGCUGCGAACAGCUGGGGCAGCACGCUGCUCUUUUCCCAACGUGUAUUAUUUAUUCAUCGUUAUUUAUAACUUACCAUUACCGCGUCGCUGUCUUUGUCGGGAAGGUAAUUACCUAUGCUUUUUAGUAAAAUCAAUAAAAAGUUUGAAGGCAGGGACUCGCGCCGAGUG
rnacentral:lncRNA from 1 species